UCUCGUUUCACACGAACAUUUGGAAUAUACAGGGAGUUACAAGUAUGAAUAUAUCGUAGCCUGUACAUGCAUGAGUAAUGUAUUCAACAUUAUAAUUCGCGGUCAGAAGUAUUUCCUGUUCCGAUUACAUAGUAUAAAGAAUUUCUUGCGCCAGAGGCAUUAUCUUAUACAUAUACCCAAAUGUAACAUUCGUAAGGACCCAUAAGCGGUAUAAGAUAUUAUCUUGCGACGCGAAAAUUCUUCGGUCGAUCUGUUGGGCGUAAGUCGCGGAAGAGAAAAAGCUCCACGAUAAUAACAUUCGUUCGCAGAGAAGCUUGUAGAGAAGUGUGAGGAAAAGCUUCGUUUUCUCAUUUAAAUUCGAGCUGGUCUAUUUCCAAGUAGAAAAUAGUAAAAAACAAACAUAAAGAAGAAAACAGGCUGCUGGCGCAGGUCGUACGGGAGGCGAAGAGGCGCGAACGAAGACGCGUAAAUCCACACACGAACGAAAUUAAUAUACUGUUGCAGCACGGACGGAAUGAUGCGGACGAAGAUCCGUACGGUGCGCGCAUACACGCGUAGAUGAAGGUAUAAAUUCGAAGUAUAUAGCGAGAGUGAAAAUUAUAAGAGCAAUACGAAACGCUGGGAAACGCGAUGACGCGGUGGUACGUUCUUGGAACCAAAGACUUUGUCUUGGCACGGGUCGCUCGAACCGGCGCCUACACUGAAAAGAAAGAUAUUCGAAGGGUCGUGGAUGUUUCAUACGGUAGAUUACGCAUCGACUCUCAUUUUGCAACUGCCAAACCACGAAGAUUAUAGCGGGGAGAAAUGCAGUAAUGUAAAAAACACAAACUUACCAAGAAUAUUACAAGACUUAUGAAAA